rnacentral:lncRNA from 1 species
CUUAACAUAGCUAGCAUUAGCUGUUUAGCUAGCUAAACAGCUAAUGCUAGCCAUUUGAAGAUAGCUAGCUAAGUAGCUAACGCUAGCUAUGUUAUAUUUACAUAGCUAGCGUUAGCUACUUAUCUAGCUAUCCUACCUUAGCUAGUGUUAAGAUAGCUAGCUAAAUAGAUAAUGCUAGCCAUGUUAAGAUAGCUAGCCAACUCUAGCUAACUAGCUAACGCUAACUAGAUGAAGCUAGCUACUCAGCAAACUGAAGUUAACUGUUUAUCAAUCAAACAGCGCCUGGGUGUUUCAAUAUCCACUUAAAUCAUGUAUGUUUCAUACAGUCUUAAUAAACUCUGGAAUUUACAUGCUCCAGGGUUUCUGCAUGGAUCUGCAGCAAAUCCACUCUGUUUCAGUUGGCACAGGAGUGCUGUGACCGCAUCUGCACCAGGUUUUGCAGAACUGCAACAAUUCUGUAUCAUCUUACCCGAAGACCGUGCAGCAGUGGAAGCGGAAGGAGAGCGUUGUUUUUGCAAAGGGAAUAUCUUGAAGCAUGUAAAUGCGACAGAUGUUAAGAUACUUCAGCUAUUCAACUCAAGUGCUUCUUGUUCAAAGACUGAGAUAAUAAUCACACUCAAGACAGGAAAGAAGGUGUGCCUGGAUCCAAAUGAAGAGCAAGGAAAGAGGAUGUUGGGAGGCAAAAUGUAAGCUGGUGCCAUCACUACAAAACACUGGGCUUUGUCUGCCAGGCUUCUUUUAAACAAUUAAAAAAGGUUGUGUGAAUGUGGAGAGCUUGAUGAUGUUACUUUCUGUUUCUGUGCAUUCUAGUGGAAUGAAAUCAGAUGCAAAUGGAGGAAACAGUGAGAAGGGUGAGCAGCAGUCAGACCACCUCCCAUCUGAAAAGACAACCCUACAGUUCCACAAUGUUACAGUAGAUCAACCUCCCUCCUUCAUUCCACAGUUGGUGAACUCCCAACAGGAUAAAAAUGAACCAUUUCUCACCAGGACCACUUUUGGACCUCAAGUCAUCCUCAGUAAGACCUCAGAUGUUACAGUAGAUCAACCUCCUUCUUUCAUUCCACUUUUGGUGAACUCCCAACAGGAUAAAAAUGAACCAUUUCUCACCAGGACCACUUUUGGACCUCAAGUCCUCUCCAGUAAAACCUCAGUGUAA